UUCAGGCACCUUUUUCGGGUGCGUUGAUUUAAGAGUUCCCGCUUUAAUUUAAAUGAUUAUUCUCUUUUCCCGCUUCUUGGGUUGAUAGUGCUGCUAUCUUUAAUACUUAAUUGAUGUUUUUGAUAUGAACAGUAGGCAUGGCACGGUUGUUGUUGGUUUGGUCUGUUAUCAGUGUCCUCGUCAUCAAAACAUGCCAAUAUUCUUUCUUUUAUCUCUUUGACUUCAAACAUUUAAUUCUAAUUUCACCCUACCUCAUGUUUACUAUAUGAUUCAACAGUUUGUUACAUUAUUUUUCCUAACAUCUUGUCUUAUGUGUGGUGGAAAACCGCGAUCGUACCAAACCGAAUAGUUCCGGCCAUUACCAAGUUCAUAUCACCCAGAUCCCUCACAAUACAUAAUAUCGAUAGUUUUUAGCAAGUUUAUUCGUUGAAUAUAAUUACAAUCAAGGAUAUAUUCAUCUUGAACAUGUUAUUCGAACCUUAUUGGUUUUGUGAAUCCGUGAAGUUUUGGAGCUACUCUAGCUCCUAAGUGCUCUCGCCCACAAUGUCGACCAAGAUCUUAAUCUCUCUGAUUGUUUGUUUUCAAAGAACUAAACGGCUACGCAUGCUCUCGACAGCAGAAGACAUCAGAGCCCGUCUUUUACUUAAUUCAAGACACCGUAAAGAUGGGAAUGAGCGGCACAAGAAUAACAAACGAUUUCCCGACGCUAUUGUUCUUUUGUGGACGGAAGAAAAGCACUCGAAAUCAAGUGGAUACUAUCAACCAAUACGUUUACGCAUUGUCUACUGACUCUAUGAAAGUUUGUGUGUUUUUCGAGUAGAUAACUAUUAGCACUCCCCGAAACGCUUGUUGACUUAGUGGCAGAAUUGAAGGCAGAUCUCAAGUAGACGACAUCUGCCGAUAGGUAAACGCAUUGCCUAGGGGUGCUACUAAAGUUAGUGAGGCGCGAUGAAUGGGUACUGUACGGAUGGUAUUCGCGCCCCCGUUAAAGUGGUUGCCUAUUUGAAGAAAUUGAAGGCGAAACGUUUGUUGUUUAGGUGGCAGAAUUUAAGGCGAAUCUUAGGUGGACAACAUCUGCGCAUAGGUAAACGCAUUGCCUAGGGGUGCUAUUAAGGUUUGUGAGGCGCGACAAAUGGGGACUUUUCAGAUGUAUUCGCGGCCUCCGGGGUAAUGUAGUUGCCUAUGCGAAAAAAUGGAAGGCAAACUAGCUUAAUCGUCUACGAAAUCACAGAAUCAAGAAACAUUUUGAAAGACUUCGAUCGAAUCGAUGUACAAAUGGAUCAAUUCAACAACGCAGCUCACAUCAAAUGUACGCGCAGAAGUGAUAAUAGCACGAUUGCCAUAAAUUUUUCAUCAUCAAAUGCCCUGACUUUUCCUGACUAUCUUUCCUUCCCCUGAUUCCAAAACGUUUUGAUUCCCUGAUUCUCCCUAAAAUUUUAACAUAACUUCCGAUUUUUUCCCUCUAAAUGACACUCACUUCUGUGAAUGCACCACGGAAAAUUCCUUGACUUUUCCUGUCACCGCAAAUUCCCUGACUUUCCCGGUUUUCUAGCCUGUAAUAAUAGUGACGUAUGUUUACUUGAUAAUGUUCUUCUUCAUCAACUCUCUGCUCCAAAAAUGUUGCUCCACGAGUAAUCCACCCUGUAAACAAAGAUUUCAAAAGUUAGUGAAAAAAUCAAAGAAAACUCAUAAAAAUUAGUUAUUUCCCAUAAUGGGCCUGUUGCAAACUUUUGCUAGAGCAAAAAUAAGAGUUGUUUCUUAUAGAUAAUGCCUCAAAAAGCACGAUGAGCGCAUCGGCAAAGUCUGAAAUGCACUCAUAACUUCACAAACUGCGUAAGAAAUUUGCGGUUUUUGAGCUUCCCGCUUCAAAAACGAUACUACGGCACAGGUGAACAUUUUGUAAGAGGAGUCGUUCCAUGGUCGGCAAUACUCAUCAUGGCCGACGCCAAUCCGCCAAAACACGUGUGAUGGGACGAGAUAACACCUGAACUAGAUUAGACCAGAUAACAAUCGGCGUGUUUAACGUUCAUAUUUUCCACGCCUGAAUUGAUUGACCUUGAACUCUCCUCGAAUUACGCGCGGAACUGCGCGCAAGCGUCGGCCAUGAUGAAUAUCGCCGACGAUGGAGCGACUCCUGUAACAAAAUGUUCACCUGUGCCGUAGUAUCGUUUUUGAAGCGGGAAGCUUAAAAAAACGCAAAUUUCUUACGCAGAUUGUAAAGUUAUGAGUGCAUUUCAGACUUUGCCGAUGCGCUCAUCGUGAUUUUUGAGUCAUUAUCUAUAAGAAACAACUCUUAUUUUUGCUCUAGCAAAAGUUUGCAACAGGCCCAUUGGACCGAGUUUAUCAGAAAGAAACCAACCCACGUCAAGUUGAAACAGAGAAAACGAUCAAGGUUAAAGUUUUAUUCCUCCGUAUUGACUCAAUGUAGAAAGUAAACUUCAUCCUCUCUUUUCACAAACUAAA
rnacentral:lncRNA from 1 species